GUGCCGCAGCUAACGCAUUAAGCACUCCGCCUGGGGAGUACGACCGCAAGGUUGAAACUCAAAGGAAUUGACGGGGGCCCGCACAAGCGGUGGAGCAUGUGGUUUAAUUCGAAGCUACGCGAAGAACCUUACCAGGUCUUGACAUCUUGCGCCAACCCUAGAGAUAGGGCGUUUCCUUCGGGAACGCAAUGACAGGUGGUGCAUGGUCGUCGUCAGCUCGUGUCGUGAGAUGUUGGGUUAAGUCCCGCAACGAGCGCAACCCUUGUUACUAGUUGCCAGCAUUCAGUUGGGCACUCUAGUGAGACUGCCGGUGACAAACCGGAGGAAGGUGGGGACGACGUCAGAUCAUCAUGCCCCUUAUGACCUGGGCUACACACGUGCUACAAUGGACGGUACAACGAGUCGCGAACUCGCGAGGGCAAGCUAAUCUCUUAAAACCGUUCUCAGUUCGGACUGCAGGCUGCAACUCGCCUGCACGAAGUCGGAAUCGCUAGUAAUCGCGGAUCAGCAUGCCGCGGUGAAUACGUUCCCGGGCCUUGUACACACCGCCCGUCACACCAUGGGAGU
rnacentral:rRNA from 1 species